CUAGCCAGAGCGAGCGAGUUGAUAAAGACGACGACGAACCUGCAGAACAACCUUCAUUUGGAUAUAUUGUUAUUCUCUCCUCUGUUCGGUGUGUUUAAAACUGGUGAAUCUCCGGAUGUUCUCCUUUCUCACUCGUUGUGACAACUAACCCCUUUACUGUAUUUACGGAUGUGAGGAGACACACACAGAGAGUUGUGCUCCAGAGCUGCCAAACCUCUGACAGGAGGGUGGCGACGGCCUCGCCGGGGUGAUCCACUCGUCUUCUGCCUCUGUGUGUUAAGCUUUUCUCUGGAUCUGUUAUCAAGAUGAGCAUGCAUGCAAAAGAGUGGGGGAAAAAAAACAGAAAUAGAAAGGGCACGCAUGCAGAAAACAUUCCAUUCCAUCCAUUUAUUUAGUUAUGGUGUGCAAAUAAUGCAUUGCAUAUGGAUUUAAAAAAUGUAAUUUUAGAGAAUAGCAUGCUCAAAAAUCGAAUCAAUGUGUCUGUAACCUCAAAUUAAUUUUAGCUCAGUGAUCUGACCUAACCCAUCCUUAUUUUUUAUUUAGCCUAUCCACUGUAAAAAAUUAAUACGCCUUAUCUAAUC